GUGCUGUGAUGUACUUGUUUAACCCCUCAUUCUGAAAAAAAAAAUGUGGUUAAUUACUGAAACUGAGCACA